GAAACUCUAUAUAAUACGAGGUCCAAUUACUGUUCUGAAAACAACUAUACAAUGCACAAUUCGUUAUUAAAGUAUUGCUAUUAACAGGUCAAAUGGGAAACUUUCUUAAUUACAUUUUCACUUUGGAAGUAUAACCUAAAAUUGACUAAUCUUGUAUUACUUUAUUUGACUGGAUAAAAGUAGGGCCUAUAAUAAUAAUGUAAGGUUAAAUAAAUUGACAACAUCAUUACUCAUAACCAUAACACAAAAGUACUGACACUUUCCAUUAUAAGAAAGUAUAACAAGAUGUUAAAAAAAUUCUUUACCCUUGACAAUAAAAGAAUUUCUAAUAAAAAUAUUCAUAAAAUGUUCACGUCAAUUCGCAGUUUUUCUUGGCUGGAUGUCUCAACUUCUAGUUUUCAGUCU